UGGGGGAUAUUGCACAAUGGAGGAAACUCUGAUGCAGCGAUGCCGCGUGAGGGAAGAAGGUUUUCGGAUUGUAAACCUCUGUGGAACGGGACGAUAAUGACGGUACCGUUCAAGGAAGCCACGGCUAACUACGUGCCAGCAGCCGCGGUAAUACGUAGGUGGCGAGCGUUGUCCGGAAUUACUGGGUGUAAAGGGAGCGUAGGCGGGAGAGCAAGUCAGAAGUGAAAAUUAUGGGCUUAACCCAUAACCUGCUUUUGAAACUGUUUUUCUUGAGUGAGUCAGAGGCAAGCGGAAUUCCAAGUGUAGCGGUGAAAUGCGUAGAUAUUUGGAGGAACACCGGUGGCGAAGGCGGCUUGCUGGGGCUUUACUGACGCUGAGGCUCGAAAGCGUGGGGAGCAAACAGGAUUAGAUACC
rnacentral:rRNA from 1 species